UUUCCGUAGGUGAACCUGCGGAAGGAUCAUACUGAGUUUUGAAUGAAGUUGUUCUGGUCUUUCGGGGCAAGUGAACGCUUCUCUCAAUCCAUCUUACACCUGUGCACCUAUCGGGGAAGACUUGGAUCUAAGUUGGGUCACGACAGCGAUCUACAGUCUCCUCUUUAUACCAAAUAACAGUUUUAGAAAGUCUUUUUUGCUUGAUGCAAACUUAAAUAAAUACAACUUUCAGCAACGGAUCUCUUGGCUCUC
rnacentral:misc_RNA from 1 species